GCCGCCGUCGUCUAGUGGCCCAGGACAUAUGGUUUUCAGCCAUAGAAUCAGGGGUUCGACUCCCCUCGGCGGUA
rnacentral:tRNA from 1 species